UUUUGUAGUGAGACAUUUAAAUUUCUUUCUCAUUUCCUUUUGUAUAUAUUCUAUAGUUAUUUUCUCUGUGGUGACCAUGGGGAUUGUAUUUAACAUCCUAAAGUUACAACACCUUAAUUUGAAUUUAUACCAGCUUAAAUUUGAUAACAUACAAAAACUCUGCUGUUUACAGCUCUGUCACUACCUGUUCCAGUUGCUGAUGUCACGAAAUUACAUCUUUCGUAUUGUGUGCUCCAAAACCUAAACUAAUAAUUCUUUCAAAUGCAUUCAUCUCUUAAAUUAUGGAUAAGGCAACAUGUAGAUUUACAAACCAAAGUUACAAUAAUACUAACUAUUAGACAAUAGUUAAAAAUAUAUUAGUCUCUUAAAUCAUGUGGAAUAGAGAGUGGAGUUACAAACCAUUGUUAUAAUACUACCUUUUAUAAUCACCAUGUAUUUAACUUUAUCAAGAUCUUUAUUUCUUCACAUGGCUUCAAUUUAUUGUCUAAUUUCCUUUCAUUUCACUUUUCCUUUGAGAAUUUCUCACAGGGAAGUUCCAGUGGUAAAGACAUUUCUUAAUUUUUAUUUAUCUGGGAAUGUCUUAAUGUAUCCCUCACUAUGAAGGACAGUUUUGCUGGAUAUAGGAUUCUUGGUCGAUAGUUCAUUUUUCCUUAGAGUGCUUUGAAUAUAUUGUCUUCUGGCCCCCAAAAUUUCUUAUGAGAAAAUCUUCUGAUCAUCUUAUUGAGUAUCCCUUUUAUGUAAUGAAUCUCUUCUUGUUGUUUUCAAUAUUCUCUGUUUAUCUUUGGCUUUCAAAAGUUUGAUUAUAAUGUGCCUCAGUGUGGAUCUCUUUGAGUUUAUCUUACUUGGAGUUUGUUGAAUUUCUUGGAUGUUUAUAUUCAUGUCUUUCCUCAGAUUUGGGAAGCUCUUUGCCAUUAUUUCUUCAAAUAUCCUCUCUGCCCAUUUCUUUGUCUUCUCUUUCUGAAACUCUAACACUGAAUAAAUGGUCUGCUUGGUAGUGUCACUUAGGCUCUAUUCAGUUUUCUUCAAUCUUUUUCCUUUCUAUUCCUCACAUUUGGUAAUUUCCAUUGUCCUGUCUUCAAGUUUGCUGAUUCUUUCUUCUGCCUGCUCAAAUAUGCCUUUGAAUCCUUCUAGUGAAUUUUUCAUUUCAGUUAUUAUACUUUUCAGCUCCAGGAUUUCUUUUUGGUUUCUUUUUAUGUUUUCUAUCUCUUUAUUGGUAUUUUCAUUUUGUUUAUACAUCAUUUUCUUGAGCAUAUUUAAGACAGUUAUUUUAAUUUCUUUACCCAGGUAAUCUUCCAUCAGGUAUUUUAAAGGAACACUUUCUGAUUAUUUAUCUUUUACUUUGAAUAGGCCAUACUUUCUUGUUUCUUUGUUUGCCUUAUGACUUUUUGUUGAAAACUUGAUGUUUGAAUCUAAUAAGGUGAAAACUCUGGAAAUCAGAUUCUCCCUUUUCCCUAGGGUUUGCUGGUUUUCAUGAUUGUAUGUAUGUAUGUGUUUCCUUGUUUGUUUAUUUAUUUAUUUGGGGCAAUCUCUGUUCCAAGGAUCAGCCUGAGGUGUAAACCUAAAAUCUCCUCAGGUCUUUUCUGAGCCUUCACCUUUCCCAUGCAUGGUCACUUUCUAAUUUUCCCUGUAUGUGCACUUGCUUUUGAAUGUCUUAGGCUUUAGUGUUUGUCUCCCAAAAGGGAAAAAAGAAAAAAUGAAGUGGGGAGAAAGGGCACUAGCCAUUUAAUUCCCUUAGAAUCACUUUCACUUGAGGGGAGGAGCUUGAACAAUGGGGGAAAGGUUACAACAAUUACCAUCCUCCUUUUUGCACUUCUGAGAUCAGAAUCAGUGAUCAGCAAUUAGAGCACUGAUUCCUGAUAUUUGGAGAGUAGGGUCCUUUUUGCCUACCCUGGCUUCCACAAGUUGUGUGUUGUGUGUAGCUGGUCCAGCAAUGUGUGCACAGCUGCGUGCCACAGGGCUGAGGCUAAGGUAUGAGUAGUAGUUGCUACUGUGCUAAGAGCUAAAAUUGACUGAAAUCAACCUCAAUUUACUGUCCAAACCUUCCCCUGAAACUUGCAAGCCUUCAAUGUACUCCAGAGUUUUAAAUUAAUUAUAUUAGACAGAUUCUGCCAGCAAAAUUGUUGUCAAGGUGGAGAGACAGUUUCUUGGUGCUUUCUACUCCCCCAUUUCCCCAGAAUUCUCUCUGCUUCUCAUUAUUUUUCUCCUCCAUACUUAAGUCUGGAUCUUUUCUUCUGAUCUAUUUUUCAGCUAUUUCUCUCUUAAGCUGUAUCAAAUAUCCAGUUAAACUCAUCUACUGAAUUUUUGAGUUCACCUGUUGCAUUUUUUAGUUCUAUAAAUUCCACUUGAUUCUUAUAGUUUCAGUAGUGGAAUAUUAUAUUGUUUAUUGUUAAUUUUAAGUCCAUGUCUGCUAUGUCCAAUACCCGGGACACCUAUUUCUGUUGUGCACGUUUUCUCUUGGUCUUGUUUCUUAAUAUGUCUGGGUUUUUUUUUUGUUUUUUUGUUUUUGUGGUACGCGGGCCUCUCACUGUUGUGGCCUCUCCCGUUGCGGAGCACAGGCUCCGGACGUGCAGGCCCAGCGGCCAUGGCUCACGGGCCCAGCCGCUCCGCGGCAUGUGGGAUCUUCCCGGACCGGGGCACGAACCCGUGUCCCCUGCAUUGGCAGGCGGACUCUCAUCCGCUGUGCCACCAGGGAAGCCCUGUUUUUUUUUUUAACUAAAAUGCUGGGCAUUUUAUAUGAAAAUUAUAGUGACUCUGGGUGUUAUAUUCCUCCAGAGAGGAUUCAACCUAUUUUAAAAGGCAAGAGAGAGGCAAAUCAGCUCAAUUUAAUCUAGGACUGAAAUCAGUCUUUGGUAAGGUUCAGUCUUCAUCUAAGUUUCUUGCAUUCUUAGGGAUGUAGCUUUCUAUGUUUCCUAACAGAGGGCCCGAAGUGUUCUUGUGGAUUCUCCUCCUUGAUAUGUCAUAAACUUCAAUUUUGGUCUUCCUGGCCCUUUUGGGUUGCCAAAAUUGCUGAUCUGCUUUUUAUUCACAUUAUGUUAUACUGAGCCUUUUGCCUUGUGCAACUUAAUUAGCAAACACCUUGAGGGAAAAAUGGUAUUACUGUUCUUAUUUGUCUCAGCCUCACUUUUCUAUGAAAUCUCAGCUGCCCCAAACUCUAAUUUGUCUUUCUCCAUGGCCAUACAAAUGCAUAAAGCUCUGCUGGAUUAUCUGUUUCUUAGCAGGUACAUUUUUUUCCUUUUCUUUUCUUUUUUAAGUCUCUUGGUCCAGUCCAAAAUGUGGCAGAAAGUGGCAGACUACCCAACAAUUAAGGAAGAAUAGAGAAAGUUUGAUUUACUUCCAAAAGCAUUCUUCUCUGGAACAUAAUUUUCAAGUCCUGACUGCCUUGGAAGCUCUUUGAUAUUUGGGGUGAGGAGGAUAUAAAUAUUUCAGAUUUUCUAGUUGCUCUUAGAGGGAGCAUUGCUGUUCUGCUACAAGCUACUAUAUAAUAAACAAAAGUGGAAAUUUUGAACUUUUAUUGAGUAUUUACUAUUUGCCAAGCACUCUAUUAGAUCCUUACUAUGUUAUGCUACUUUUUUUUUUCAGCAGUACCUUAGAUGCUGAGACUCAGAUAUUGAGACUCAAAGGGACUGCAUAACUUGCUCAAAGUUUUUAAGAGGCAGAAUCAAGAAAUAUACUUCCAAGGUUUUUAAAGCUUCUACUCUUUCCAUCAUACUAAACUCAACAUGGAAUAUAAUAGACUGGUAAUGGUUACAGAUUAAUGGUAGACCCCUGCUUUAUGCCAUUUGGUCCAAAAUAACAUAAAAUUGGAUAUCUGAAAUCCUGUAUCAUAAUUUUCAGAAGGAAAGCAAGACACCCAACAGUAAUGAAAAUUAGAGAGAUCACUAAAUCUUACCCUUCAAAUUUUGAAGGAAAUAAUUCAAACUUCUGGCUUAAAGGAGCAGAAGAUGCUCAAAAGAAAAAUUACAAAAAGAGGAAAAGAUAAAAGCCAUUUGUGGUUUGUCUGAAUCUGCCUGGCGAGUAAGGCUUGAGUUCCUCAGGACAGAGAAGGGUCUAUGCCUCCAGGAUUUGCUUUCUUGGGGACCCUCCCAGAGCGUCCUCCCAACUCACCCCGCCGCCCCAGCUCCCUGUGGUGAGAACUACGGAUACCCUGGGAAGGAAUGGCCUUCUGGAGCGGUGAAGAGUCCCCGGAGCCUUUUCCGCAGGAUUCCAAACUAAGCAUGCCGGGACUGCCAGAGGGGCCCUGCCGCCUGUCUCCAGAUCCUGUCUCAAGCUGGCAUCUCCCUUCCCUUGGACACCCCGGGAGUCUGCCCCCUAGUUCCAACUUCUUCUGGGCUUGGAGGACACUCUGUCAGCCCUUCUCCUGCCACGUAGUCCUCAAAUGCCACCCCUGGAGGGGGACUCCGGGGCCUCAGGACUCUAGCGCAGCGCCGAGAGCUGCGCUGUGGCAGCUGGGCCAACCCCACACAGUCUGCUGGUGUUUGAACUCUCACUCCGGAAGACAUUUUGGGAAAAUAUUGUGCAUAGAAAUUUAUAGAUGUAUAUAUGUGUACAUAGACACACAUAUAUAUGCAUGUAUAUGUAAUUUGGUCGACAAAUGCUAAGCAAAUGUGCCCGGUGUUUUUGUUGAAACCGUUAGCAUCUUAGUUGGUAUUGGUAUAAUUGGUUGAUAUUAUUAUGAGUAUGACAAGUGGAUGAUGUAAAGGGAGCGCCCGAUCCCCUUGGAAAACACAGCGGAACACAAGUGGAGACAUCUGAUUGUUUCCAACUGCCCGUAUCUCCCCUGUCGCUACCUCUCGGUCACCAACCAGGCUGACGGCACACUCUGGACAAGGCAACUUCCUCCGAAGGGCGAUCUCCCCUCAUAUGACUGAGAUCAAUGUGUCUUCAGGGGAAGCGGCAAGUCCUGGGGGUGUCAGAAGCCCCUAGUCCCUUAUCCAGACCUUUGUCACAAAAGGCAGUUCGGUUGGUAUCAAGGACGAAAAGAAACAUUAAAAUACAACUGUGUAAUGAGGGUGGAGAAGGAGGGAAAGGCUAGGGCCUGCUCCAUUUCUGGGAAGAUCCGAAGAGGCUGACUCGGCUGCGGGGACAUUCCCAGCCGUGCCUCGCGGGGCGUGGAGAGAAGGGAGAAACGGCCGGCCCCUCAGCCCUUUCACCUAAGCUCAUGCAGCGGGACGCCGGCUGAAAACCUCUCUAUGCGAUUAAGUCACGUCCAUUCCAGCCGGUGGCACUGACACAUGUGCGCUCGGCUUAGGCGCGCGCAACCAACGGUUUUGGAAAUCUCCGCGCAAGGCACCCGCCUGCAGCGCUCCCACUCCGGCGGGCCCACCUGGGAGCUCGGCCGUCUCCCACCGGCAUCCCGCUAGCCCUGCCGCGCAGCUCGCCCCAGCCCAGACGCGGACAGAUGUUUACUGCUUAGAGCCCCGACCACUGGGGAGACGGAGCGACGGGCUCUGCGCACCACGCGGCGCUGGCUGGGCUCUGGGGCUCGCGGUCCGGGUGCGAGCGGGCCGCGGGGGAGG